rnacentral:misc_RNA from 1 species
UCCGAGUUGUCCCCGGCAGUCCUCUUAGAGUCCCCGGCAUUACCCGCUGGCAACUAAGAGCAGGGGUUUCGCUCGUUAUAGGACUUGACCAAACAUCUCACGACACGAGCUGACGACAGCCAUGCAGCACCUGUGCUAGCCCCUUACGGACACGGGCUUUCACCCGCUUUAACUAGCAUGUCAAACCCAGGUAAGGUUCUUCGCGUUGCAUCGAAUUAAACCACAUGCUCCACCGCUUGUGCAGGCCCCCGUCAAUUUCUUUGAGUUUUAACCUUGCGGCCGUACUCCCCAGGCGGAUAACUUAAUGCGUUAGCUGCGCCACCAAAACCCUAAGGGCCCUGACAGCUAGUUAUCAUCGUUUACGGCGUGGACUAC